AACGAACGCUGGCGGCAGGCCUAACACAUGCAAGUCGAACGGACCCUUCGGGGUUAGUGGCGGACGGGUGAGUAACACGUGGGAACGUGCCCUUUGGUUCGGAACAACUCAGGGAAACUUGAGCUAAUACCGCAUGUGCCCUUCGGGGGAAAGAUUUAUCGCCAUUGGAGCGGCCCGCGUCUGAUUAGCUAGUUGGUGGGGUAAUGGCCUACCAAGGCGACGAUCAGUAGCUGGUCUGAGAGGAUGAUCAGCCACAUUGGGACUGAGACACGGCCCAAACUCCUACGGGAGGCAGCAGUGGGGAAUCUUGCGCAAUGGGCGAAAGCCUGACGCAGCCAUGCCGCGUGAAUGAUGAAGGUCUUAGGAUUGUAAAAUUCUUUCACCGGGGACGAUAAUGACGGUACCCGGAGAAGAAGCCCCGGCUAACUUCGUGCCAGCAGCCGCAGUAA
rnacentral:rRNA from 1 species